CGGAGGGUGCGAGCGUUGUCCGGAAUCAUUGGGCGUAAAGGGCGCGUAGGUGGCCCGGUCAGUCUUUGGUGAAAGCGCGGGGCUCAACCCUGCGUCGGCCAGGGAUACUGCCGCGGCUCGAGCACUGUAGAGGCAGGCGGAAUUCCGGGUGUAGCGGUGGAAUGCGUAGAGAUCCGGAAGAACACCGGUGGCGAAGGCGGCCUGCUGGGCAGUUAGCUGACACUGAGGCGCGACAGCGUGGGGAGCAAACAGGAUUAGAUACCCUGGUAGUCCACGCCGCAAACGAUGGGCACUAGGCGCUUGGGGGAGCGACCCCCCGAGGGCCGGCGCUAACGCAUUAAGUGCCCCGCCUGGGGAGUACGGCCGCAAGGCUG
rnacentral:rRNA from 1 species